rnacentral:lncRNA from 1 species
AGCUAGAAGUUGAGAGUUUAAGCUCGAUAAAAACAUAAUUCAGAAUUUAACAUAAAAGUCUUAAGUUGGAGAAACAAAAGACAAAUAAAUGCUAGUGCAAUAGCGGAAGACAAAAUACGGAGUUGAACCCUAGCCUCAGCUCUGCCCCGUCAUCACCAGCCAUUAACCUGAAAACAUUUGAAAGUAAUUUGGGCUAAGUACUAAUGUACUUAGUGGGCUGCAACUUUUAAAGCAUUUCAUAAUCUGAAGACAGUUUAUCCAAUCUUACUGACAUGACAUAGAAGGUUUUAAAGAGAAAUAACUUCUAUGCAUGUUAAAACAUUUCAUAUAUAUAUACUUAAUUAUUUUGCGCGCGUUUGUACACUCCAUUCUGUUACUCGCUGUGAUCCCGGACCUCUAGCCACCGACGGAUCUCUGUCUCCCGCUGACUUGAACUGAGGGCGUAACCCAGCCAAGUAUAAUAAACCUCGGAAAUUAAUCCAGACAGGCCUAUCAUUUCUAUGCUCCGGAACACAUCCCGUCGAGCACCCUUAUAACGCCUCUGGUUAGUGCCCGAUGGAGAUCAACCCACCGAGUCAGCUAACAAGUGUACACAAUUCUCAAACAACGUGUUAGGUCAUAAGAGAACCUCAAUUGAUUAACUGUACGAGCCUUAAACAUGGUAGAGUGCACAAAAAUAUUUUAUGGAUAAACAGUUUAUAUUACACGAAUAUUUAAGCUCAAUAGCUAAAUCAUACAUUUGAAAAUAAGCCCACCUGUCUAGGCAAAGCCUGUCGUUUAACUUUAUUUCUGAAUCGGAAUAGCAGUGCUAAUCCUCCUGAUGCUCAAAGCCU